rnacentral:rRNA from 1 species
UACGGGGGGAGCAAGCGUUGUUCGGAUUUACUGGGCGUAAAGGGCGCGUAGGCGGCGCAACAAGUCACUUGUGAAAUCUCCACGCUCAACGUGGAGGCGCCACGUGAGACUGCCCUGACUCGAGUCCGGUAGGGGAGCGUGGAAUUCCCGGUGUAGCGGUGAAAUGCGCAGAGAUCGGGAGGAACACCCGUAGCGAAGGCGGCGCUCUGGGCCGGUACUGACGCUGAGGAGCGAAAGCGUGGGGAGCAAACAGG